rnacentral:rRNA from 1 species
GACGAACCGUGCGAACGUUAUUCGGAAUCACUGGGCUUAAAGGGCGCGUAGGCGGGUUCUCAAGUCAGGGGUGAAAGCCUCCAGCUUAACUGGAGAAGUGCUUUUGAUACUGGGAAUCUCGAGUAAGGUAGGGGCAUGUGGAACUUCCGGUGGAGCGGUGAAAUGCGUAGAUAUCGGGAGGAACACCCGUGGCGAAGGCGGCUCUCUGGAACGCAACUGACGCUGAGACGCGAAAGCGUGGGGAGCAAACAGG